rnacentral:pre_miRNA from 13 species
AUAUACACACAUAUAGAUAUAUGUAUGUGAUGUGUAUAUAUACACAUACAUAUAUCUAUAUGUGUGUAUAUA